AUUCAAAUAACUUAUAAUAAUAGAGUAUAACAUUGAAGAUGUUAAUGAGAUUUUAAAUCUUUGAAUA
rnacentral:tRNA from 1 species